rnacentral:rRNA from 1 species
UACGGAGGGUGCAAGCGUUAUCCGGAUUUACUGGGUUUAAAGGGUCCGCAGGCGGGCCGUUUAGUCAGUGGUGAAAUCCCGAGGCUCAACCUCGGAACUGCCAUUGAUACUGACGGUCUUGAGUUCGGUUGCGGUUGGCGGAAUGAGUCAUGUAGCGGUGAAAUGCGUAGAUAUGACUCAGAACACCGAUUGCGAAGGCAGCUGACCAAGCCGACACUGACGCUGAGGGACGAAAGCGUGGGGAGCGAACAGG